rnacentral:rRNA from 1 species
UACGGAGGGGGCGAGCGUUAUUCGGAAUUAUUGGGCGUAAAGGGCGCGUAGGCGGCUAGAUGUGUCAAAGGUGAAAUCCCUCGGCUCAACUGAGGAACUGCCUUUGAAACUGUCUGGCUUGAGGCCGGGAGAGGGUAGCGGAAUUCCCAGUGUAGCGGUGAAAUGCGUAGAUAUUGGGAGGAACACCAGCGGCGAAGGCGGCGCUCUGGGCCGGAACUGACGCUGAGGAGCGAAAGCGUGGGGAGCAAACAGG